rnacentral:misc_RNA from 1 species
GAUGAAGAACGUAGCGAAAUGCGAUACUUGGUGUGAAUUGCAGAAUCCCGCGAAUCAUCGAGUUUUUGAACGCAAGUUGCGCCCGAAGCCAUUCGGCCGAGGGCACGUCUGCCUGGGUGUCACGCAUCGUUGCCCCCCCAAACUCCGGUUCGGGCGGGGCGGAAGUUGGCCUCCCGUGCGUGCCUGCGCGCGCGGUUAGCCCAAAAGCGAGUCCUCGGCGACGAGCGCCACGACAAUCGGUGGUUUUUUUACCCUCGUUCCUCGUCGUGCGUGCCCCGUCGCCCGAACGCGCUCUUGCGACCCUUACGCGUCGCCUCGGCGGCGCUCCCAACGCGACCCCAGGUCAGGCGGGGUUACCCGCUGAAUUUAAGCAUAUCAAUAAGCGGAGGA